rnacentral:rRNA from 1 species
GAUGAACGCUGGCGGCGUGCCUAAUACAUGCAAGUCGAGCGAACAGACGAGGAGCUUGCUCCUCUGACGUUAGCGGCGGACGGGUGAGUAACACGUGGAUAACCUACCUAUAAGACUGGGAUAACUUCGGGAAACCGGAGCUAAUACCGGAUAAUAUAUUGAACCGCAUGGUUCAAUAGUGAAAGACGGUUUUGCUGUCACUUAUAGAUGGAUCCGCGCCGCAUUAGCUAGUUGGUAAGGUAACGGCUUACCAAGGCAACGAUGCGUAGCCGACCUGAGAGGGUGAUCGGCCACACUGGAACUGAGACACGGUCCAGACUCCUACGGGAGGCAGCAGUAGGGAAUCUUCCGCAAUGGGCGAAAGCCUGACGGAGCAACGCCGCGUGAGUGAUGAAGGUCUUCGGAUCGUAAAACGCUGUUAUUAGGGAAGAACAAAUGUGUAAGUAACGAUGCACGUCUUGACGGUACCGAAGCAGAAAGCCACGGCUAACUACGU